AGUGUAGGUCCCUGGGAUUGAACUCAGGC
rnacentral:misc_RNA from 1 species